rnacentral:piRNA from 1 species
UAUUUUUCCUACAAUGUUCAUUAAAUGUUU